UGAGAACUGAAUUCCAUAGGCAUUAAAGCCUCUAAAAAUGCCCUAUGGAUUCAGUUCUGCA
rnacentral:pre_miRNA from 1 species